GGUCGACGAAAUAUGAAUCGGAGAUUGCAAGAGACAACCUGGCGAACUGGAACAUCUUAAAAGCCAGAGAAAAAGAAAGCAAAAGCAAUUCCUGUAAUAGCGGCGAGCUAAAUGGGAGCAGCCUAAACCGUGAAAACAGGGUUGUGGGAAAGCAAUACAAGCAUCGUGCUGCUAGGCGAAGCGGUUGAGUCCUGCACCCUAGAUGGCGAGAGUCCGGUAGCCGAAAGCAUCACUAGUUUACGCUCUGACCCGAGUAGCAUGGGGCACGUGGAAUCCUGUGUAAAUCAGCAAGGUGGUUACC
rnacentral:ncRNA from 1 species